AUGCCCUACGGGAGGCAGCAGUGGGGAAUAUUGCACAAUGGGGGAAACCCUGAUGCAGCGACGCCGCGUGAGCGAAGAAGUAUUUCGGUAUGUAAAGCUCUAUCAGCAGGGAAGAAAAUGACGGUACCUGAAGAAGAAGCCCCGGCUAACUACGUGCCAGCAGCCGCGGUAAUACGUAGGGGGCAAGCGUUAUCCGGAUUUACUGGGUGUAAAGGGGGCGCAGACGGCGAUGCAAGCCAGGAGUGAAAGCCCGGGGCCCAACCCCGGGACUGCUCUUGGAACUGCGUGGCUGGAGUGCAGUAGGG
rnacentral:rRNA from 1 species